rnacentral:rRNA from 1 species
GGCUGAAACUCGCCUACAUAAAGCUGGAGUUACUAGUAAUCGCAGAUCAGAAUGCUGCGGUGAAUGCGUUCCCGGGUCUUGUACACACCGCCCGUCACACCACGGAAGUUGGGGGCGCCCGAAGCCACUUAUCUAACCCUUUUGGGAAGCGAGUGUCGAAGGUGAAAUCAAUAACUGGGGUGAAGUCGUAACAAGGUACC